UAGUUAGUGAAAGAGUUUGAUUUAAUCAUUGAUGAACAGAAUCGCUCUUCAUAUAAUGUUUUAUUUGAGUAAAACGCAUUGGUAAUUUGUAGUUGUAAAAAGAAAAUUCAUUGAACAAAUAUCUCAGAACUUAGGUGAAUUCAGAUUCAAUCGGCCACGCCCAUUGUCCCUGAAGUUUAUAUUGCACAACUACAUAGGGAAACAAAAUUGCAAUCUGGACAGUAGUAACCUCCAUACUCUGUAUUCACUUCACUCUCGACAAAUUCCAUGAUCUCUCCAGCCAGCCGGAUGACUCAUUUUGAUGAUCAUCAGCAAAUUAAAUGUGAGCCAGGGGAUGAUCAUGCUGUGCAAUCUUGACAGUGUUUGGUAAAGAGUGGGACUAUUGGCACCCCUUUAAAUACCUCUUAAAACUCCUUUAGUUAUUUUACAAUUUUAACCUUUAUUAAAAUUACAUAAUAAGGCAAUCAUGAAUUUUACAAUUCUAA
rnacentral:lncRNA from 1 species